AAAAUCUGCAGAGGGUCCAUUUUCUUUCCUAUCCUCAACGAAGGAACAUUUGAUUUUCUCCAACAAAAGAGAUUUCGUUUUAUUAGAUUAGUUUACGCACAUAUUUAUUUAUAUUUUUUAAAGAUCUUCUGCAGAUUUUAUUGCGUUUAAACGGAUCCAAACAGAAGGUGAAAAUGGAUUCAUCGAAAGGAGCCGAGAUGGAAAAACCUUCAUCACAUGACGGAUGAUGAGGAUGAUGAUGAUGUGGCGCAAAGAGCCUCAAUAAUCCGCAGCGCAGAAAACUCACUGGGAAAAGGAGAAAAUCCGUUUUUCUCAGCACAAUACAACAAAUUCCAACAGAUAAUGCAGGGUGGCAGCAGGGAGCUGACUGUCUGAACAGGAAGUGCCAGGCUCUUCUCACCUGAUUCCAGGCAGCAGAGGCCAUCUUGAAUGUUUUCAAUCAGAACAGCAAUGCUAGGCUAACUAUAAAUAUAUUCUGAUCCUUCAUCAAGUAUCUGCCCAAAGCUCACCAGUUGCAUGUUACUGUCUGGUUUUGGGUUGUUUUCUGGGAUCUGAUCAUAUUUUCUGACUGUUUCCCUCUGCAGAGCUCUUCCUGCUGGGUCACACUUCUCAGAGGAAGACGGUCCCACAAGCUGAAAUUCCCCAAACAAUAACUGGACCAACGUCCAAAACCUCCAACAAUCAGGCGUCAUCCGGAGUUCUUUGUUUGUGAGUGUUAUAAUAAGCAGCACAUCCCCUCAGCAGCAGCAGCUGCAGCUGCAGCAGCUGCAGCAGCCCAGGCCCGCAGAGCAGCAAUGGCUCCCCCUGGCUACCUCUGCGUAUUUCCUUGUUAGUGCACACCCAGAGCCCUGACCCUCCCUGCCUACAAAACACACCAAAUACACCAAAAUACACCUGAAAAGUUGACUUUCUCUCCAUAUAUCCCGAGUAAAGAGUCUCCAUUUGCCUCCCAGCCCACAUUUGGCCCCAUUGGUCCCAACAGCACAGAGGAUUUCUUACCUUUUCAAACAGGCUCUGACUAAAACUGCCUUUCCAAAGUCCCAAGCUCGACACCCUCCUUCUUCUUCCCAGCAAUCCCUGCAAAAAGGACACUUCCAUGUAUGUUGAAUAUAUGGGGGUGAUCAAAUUGGACAAAAUCAUUUUUUAAAUCCAAAUGACCAACUCCAAAUGAAAAAUAAGGUUACAUAGGCCUCAAACAGAUAAAAGCACCAAUAUGGCACCAAAAGUAACAUUACAAAUGGGUGAAAUAAUGAAACACUCUACCUUAGAAAUACACUGUGCCACCCCCAAAAUUUCACACUUCUUGUGCUCCGUCCAAUAGCCAAGCAGUGGUUAGAGAGACGCAGUUGUCGUUGAGUGCGCAGCUGAACCCUUGGAGACGCUCAGCUGAUUUCAGCGCGUUUCCAAACCCUGGAGCCUCUCAGGCAGCCUGCAGAAGCACAACUGAUGAGCUUUGUUGGUCAGACCGGCUGUUUUUCUUGCGGAAUAGAUUUCAAAAGGUGACGGAAAGUUUGAAACCCAGAUUAAAAUCCAGUGAAACCCAAAGAGCGCAGCGAGUCCAAGUUAGACCUCUCCAAAUUCAGCAGGUGUGUCCAGAGGCACUGAGAAGUCCCCAAAGGCUCCAGGGAGGAAAAAACAAGAAGUUACACUGAGUUUAAAGGUAAAAAUUCAAAUUUUAUCUAAAUAUUACAAUUUGGGUUAAAAAAUAUUAAGCUGCACCCAAAUAAAGUCAAAUUUAAAGAGCGCAAAGGAAAGCGAAAGAGGCGCAGUGGCUUCACUAGAAAUACGGCUUAUUAUUUUUUCUGUUUAUAAGUAUUUACUGCUUAAAUGUUUAUAAACGGAGGGUAAUAGCUCUGGAUCACACAUUAAUACGUAAACGUCCGGUCUGCCUGAGCAGAGAAGCGAAAAAGGCGUAAAGAAAAGCAGUGAAUUCAUCCAGUCAUUGCGCUCUCAGUCUGCGCCUCCAGCCAGGCUUCAGGAGGCUUCAAUCCACUUCUGCAGCGGAUAAAAUUAACCAAUCCUCGGGUGUGUUCACUCCUCCGACCGUUGAGGACGUUUCCCCCAAAACAAACCUGCAUGCAAAUGAUGCUGCCGCCUCCAGCAGCGUUACAGCCGCCCUGCCUCCACCUGCCUGCCUCCGCCAUGUUUACAUCCGCAUACAGGCUCCAUUAAGACGGGCAUCCGCCUCCACGCUUCUCCAGAACGGUUACAAACACCCGCAAAUCCUCCACUAUUCCCCCACAGAUGAAACCCCAACCCUGGACACACAGCGUCACAACAGCGGCGCAAUAGCGGCACAACAGCGGCGCAGUUCUUCCUGCGCGUCACUCUGCUCAUAAAACAGGAAUAAAAGGAGCUCUGUCCGUUAGAAACGACAAAGCUUUCAUUAUAUCUGCAGACAUGAAUGAGAGGAUCGCGCUUCACAUCUUUCUGUUGGUGGAAACAUCCGCACAUAGAGGCUUUGUUUAGCGCCAUGUGCGCAGCCGCAGGCGCUCAGCGGCAGCUGAACAGCGGCUCACAUUUCAGAUCCAUGCAGUCACAAUGAGACAGUCAUGAUUCUGCAGCUGUGCGUCGGGCCGCGGUCAGAAUGCGCAGGAUUCAGGUUGACAGUCUCUGAUGUGAGAUGCAUGUUUUUGAAUUUGAAUAUUUUUGUUUCUGCAGAAAGACACACAGAUGGAGCAGGAAUCAGGUAGAAACCAGCAGAAACAGGCCGUCAUUUCUACACUCUGACCUCAUUUUGUUGUUUCACAUUAGUUUAUUUAAUCUAAGUAAUAUUUGUAUUAUUGUUUUUUACACACAAGGAAAAUGUUCAAUAAGAAAUAUCUUAAGUUCUUAAUAAAAGUGAGAGGAUGCAAAAUAUCAUAUAUUCCUCUUGUAAUGUUAUAAUUUUACUUCUGUUUAUUCACACAAAAAUAUAAAUUGUUGGUAUUGUUGCAAGUGACAUAAAUGUAUGCUCCUUACAGUGCCUUAUUAAUAAUAAAAGUUAAAUUCAUA